AGCUGACAUCUUCCUGAGAGCAGAAGCUUUAUGUGAUAGAAUGGAUGUUUGCCUAUAAAAAGAAAGCUGUGGACAGUGGAUCAUGGAGUUUACCAGAUGGGAUGGUGCCAGUCCAGCACCUUGGACUCAUCUAUGAGAAUACCUAACACCAGCAGCUUUUCAUGUAAAAGUGGAAACUAGUGCUUGUCAGGAGAAAAACUGAUCUACCCGGCCUGGUCCAAUUAAUUACUGGAACCCACACCAGAAUAUGCUUCCUGGUAGGAUUUGUGACCUUUGUGGAGAACCCGUGCUGGAGCAAGGCUGUGUCUGAAGGACUGAUCCUGUGGAAAAAAUGACUUGUAUUGAAGAACUCUUGCCCAUGAGAUAGAGCCACAUUGGAGAAGUUAAAGAGGUGUCCUGUGGGAGGGACCCCAUGCUGGAGCAGCAGCAGGAACAACAUCAGUGUGAUGAACUGACCACAACCCCCAUUCCCAUCUCCCUGUGCUGCUGGGUGGGAGGAGGUAGAGCUAGGAAGGAGGGAGAGGUAUAGAAGAGGUGGUUUUAGGUGAUAUUUUAUUUCUCCUAAUCCUGCUCUGAUUUUGAUUAGUAAUGAAUUUACUGCAUUUUCCCAAUUUGAGUCUGUUUGAGAUUUGGUGAGUGGUCUCUCCCUGCCCUUAAGUAAUGAACCUUUGUUCUCCUGUCUCUCCCCUCUCCUCUGAGGAAGGCAGUGAGAGAUCAACUUUGGUGGGUACCUGGCAUCCAGGAAGGGGCAAUCCACUGCAGCAUGGAAUUCACUUACAGCUACAAGUGAUUUCUGCACAACAGGCACUUAAAAACUCUGACAUACUUGUGGAAUGUACAUUCCUCACAUUUAGAAGUGAGGGUUUCAGCAAAAGUUUAUUGGUAACUGCACAGGCAUUUCUGCUCUGGAAAAUAUGACGGAAAACCAAUAUUGAUUAUUGGCAGUGAGUACAGACAAGUACAGCCUUUCUAACGAAGUCUUGUUAUCAAAAAUACACUGUGCUGACACAAAUAUUGAUAAAAUCUUUGACAGGGAAAUUUAUGAAGUCCAAAGCAUAUUCUCUCUUGCCGCUUCCAGAGGAAAAAGGGAGAGCUGAGCAGAAAAAAGACUGGUUUGAUCUGACAAUAAGCAUUGUGAAAUAAAUCAACCCUGCAAAAAUCAUCAGAAGGGGCUGUUUUUCCUGUUGUACAGUACAAUAAUUCAAAUGUAAGCCUUGAAACAAAAGUAUUUUUCUUCUA